UCAGGAUGAACGCUGGCGGCAGGCUUAAUACAUGCAAGUCGAACGGUAACGACCGGUAGCAAUACUGGGCGACGAGUGGCGCACGGGUGCGUAACGCGUAUGCAACCUACCCUCAACCGGGGCAUAACGCCGAGAAAUUGGCGCUAAUAUCCCAUGUGUAUGUGAGACGGCAUCGUCUUAUAUAUAAAGAUCCGUUGGUUAAGGAUGGGCAUGCGUAACAUUAGCUAGUUGGCGGGGUAACGGCCCACCAAGGCGACGAUGUUUAGGGGUUCUGAGAGGAUUCACCCCCACACUGGAACUGAGACACGGUCCAGACUCCUACGGGAGGCAGCAGUAGGGAAUAUUGGGCAAUGGAGGCAACUCUGACCCAGCCAUGCCCGCGUGAAGGAAGACGGCCCUAUGGGUUGUAAACUUCUUUUGCCGCAGAGUAACCCGGGGGACGCGUCCCCCGCUGAGAGUAUGCGGCAAAUAAGUAUCGGCUAACUCCGUGCCAGCAGCCGC
rnacentral:rRNA from 1 species